rnacentral:rRNA from 1 species
GACAGAGGGUGCAAACGUUGCUCGGAAUCACUGGGCGUAAAGAGCUCGUAGGCGGUUUGUUGCGUCGGCUGUGAAAUCCCGAGGCUCAACCUCGGGUCUGCAGUCGAUACGAGCAAACUAGAGUGUUGCAGGGGAGACUGGAAUUCCUGGUGUAGCGGUGAAAUGCGCAGAUAUCAGGAGGAACACCGGUGGCGAAGGCGGGUCUCUGGGCAACAACUGACGCUGAGGAGCGAAAGCGUGGGGAGCGAACAGG